CACCGCGUGAGUGAAGAAGGGUUUCGGCUCGUAAAGCUCUGUUGUUGGAGAAGAACGUGCGUGAGAGUAACUGUUCACGCAGUGACGGUAUCCAACCAGAAAGUCACGGCUAACUACGUGCCAGCAGCCGCGGUAAUACGUAGGUGGCAAGCGUUAUCCGGAUUUAUUGGGCGUAAAGCGAGCGCAGGCGGUUGCUUAGGUCUGAUGUGAAAGCCUUCGGCUUAACCGAAGAAGUGCAUCGGAAACCGGGCGACUUGAGUGCAGAAGAGGACGUGGAACUCCAUGUGUAGCGGUGGAAUGCGUAGAUAUAUGGAAGAACACCAGUGGCGAAGGCGGCUGUCUGGUCUGCAACUGACGCUGAGGCUCGAAAGCAUGGGUAGCGAACAGGAUUAGAUACCCUGGUAGUCCAUGCCGUAAACGAUGAGUGCUAGGUGUUGGAGGGUUUCCGCCCUUCAGUGCCGGAGCUAACGCAUUAAGCACUCCGCCUGGGGAGUACGACCGCAAGGUUGAAACUCAAAGGAAUUGACGGGGGCCCGCACAAGCGGUGGAGCAUGUGGUUUAAUUCGAAGCUACGCGAAGAACCUUACCAGGUCUUGACAUCUUGCGCUAACCUUAGAGAUAAGGCGUUCCCUUCGGGGACGCAAUGACAGGUGGUGCAUGGUCGUCGUCAGCUCGUGUCGUGAGAUGUUGGGUUAAGUCCCGCAACGAGCGCAACCCUUGUUACUAGUUGCCAGCAUUAGGUUGGGCACUCUAGUGAGACUGCCGGUGACAAC
rnacentral:rRNA from 2 species